UUCUUAACAAUCUAGAUGGUCCAUUCACAUUUUCCAUCCCAUCCUAGUCCAGAACCCCAAGGCCAUACCGAAUGCAAUACCAUAAACUACCCCCCGUCCCUACCCCAUCUCAACUUCAAUUUCUCUAAACCCAAAAUAAAAAAAAUCUCUCCUUCACAGUCACUCCACAAGCUACCAAAACCAAACCCCAAUCCUCCCCCCCUCCCCCACUUAGAUUCCAUCCUCCCUCACUGGGCUAAUCGUUUACUAUACUUUAUGCUUCCUAUAAAGCGACCUGUUGAAGCAGUGCUGGUUGAAGGAGAAGAAGCACCAGAUAACAGCAUAUCAGAUUCAUUUUCUUGCAAAAAGAACCGGAUCGAUUGCUCCUUGGAAUCGAACGUGUCUAGUAACAAAAACAGUUGCGUUAUUGGUAAUUGCAGUGACACCGACAGAGAAAGUAACAACCACUGUAAAGGGGAGUUGAUCAUGUCACCUGGUGAUUCGAAACCGAUGGAGAUUGAUGAGGAUCUUCACAGUCGCCAGCUUGCUGUUUAUGGAAGAGAGACGAUGCGAAGGCUUUUUGGUUCCAACGUUCUUGUUUCCGGGAUGCAUGGUCUUGGUGUUGAGAUUGCAAAAAACCUCAUUCUUGCUGGUGUCAAGUCUGUGACAUUGCAUGAUGAAGGAAUAUUGGAGCUGUGGGAUUUAUCCAGCAACUUUGUUUUUUCCGAGAAUGAUGUUGGUAAGAACAGGGCCCUAGCAUCUGUUCAGAAGUUGCAGGAUCUCAACAAUGCAGUCACCAUCUCUACCUUAACUACAGAAUUGACAACAGAACAACUUGAUAAGUUCCAGGCUGUCGUAUUUACAGAUCUCAAUCUUGACAAAGCCAUUGAGUUUAAUGACUACUGCCAUAAUCAUAAGCCCCCCAUCUCUUUUAUCAAGGCUGAAGUUAGAGGUCUCUUUGGCUCUGUGUUUUGUGACUUUGGACCUGAAUUCACAGUGUUUGAUGUUGAUGGAGAGGAACCACACACUGGUAUAAUUGCAUCUAUCAGCAAUGAUAACCCUGCACUGGUGUCAUGCGUUGAUGACGAAAGGCUUGAGUUUCAAGAUGGGGAUCUUGUUGUUUUCUCUGAAGUGAAGGGAAUGACAGAAAUGAAUGAUGGAAAACCAAGAAAGAUUAAAAAUUCCAGACCAUAUUCAUUUAAUCUCGAGGAGGACACCACAAACUUUGCUACCUAUGAGAAAGGUGGGAUUGUCACACAGGUGAAACAACCCAAGGUGUUGAAUUUUAAGCCAUUGAGAGAAGCAAUUAAAGAUCCCGGUGAAUUUCUAUUGAGUGAUUUCUCCAAGUUUGACCGUCCACCUCUCUUGCACUUGGCAUUUCAAGCACUGGACAAGUUCGUGUCUGAGAUGGGUCGUUUCCCUGCUGCUGGUUCAGAAGAAGACGCUCAGAAGCUUAUAUCUCUGGCAAGUCACAUCAAUGAAAACUCCGGAGAUGUGAGAGUAGAGGACAUUAACCAAAAGCUGUUGCGGCACUUUGCGUUUGGUGCCAGGGCUGUACUGAAUCCUAUGGCAGCUAUGUUUGGUGGUCUAGUGGGACAAGAGGUUGUCAAAGCAUGUUCUGGAAAGUUUCAUCCUCUCUUUCAGUUCUUCUAUUUUGAUUCCGUGGAAUCACUUCCAACAACAAAUUUGGAUCCCAGUGACUUCAAGCCACGAAAUAGCCGUUAUGAUGCACAAAUCUCAGUUUUUGGGUCCAAGCUUCAGAAGAAGCUAGAGGAUGCUAAUUUGUUUGUAGUAGGAUCUGGUGCGCUUGGCUGUGAAUUCUUGAAAAAUUUAGCACUGAUGGGUGUUUCAUGUGGUGAACAGGGAAAGCUGACAUUAACUGAUGAUGAUGUGAUUGAGAAGAGUAACUUGAGCAGGCAGUUUCUCUUCCGUGAUUGGAACAUUGGACAGGCCAAAUCCACUGUUGCUGCUUCUGCUGCAACAUUAAUAAAUCCUCAUCUCAAGAUUGAAGCACUGCAAAAUCGUGUGUGCCCUGAAAGUGAGAAUGUAUUUGAUGAUACUUUCUGGGAGAACUUAACUGCUGUUGUCAAUGCUUUAGACAAUGUCAAUGCAAGACUCUAUGUUGACCAGAGGUGCUUGUACUUCCAAAAGCCUCUUCUCGAGUCAGGCACCUUGGGUGCUAAAUGCAACACUCAGAUGAUCAUUCCUCACCUGACUGAAAAUUAUGGUGCUUCAAGGGACCCACCAGAGAAACAAGCACCGAUGUGCACUGUGCAUUCAUUCCCACAUAACAUUGAUCAUUGCUUGACAUGGGCUCGAUCCGAGUUUGAGGGUUUGGUUGAGAAAACACCAACAGAAGUUAAUGCUUAUCUAUCAAAUCCAGUUGAUUAUACUAAUGCUAUGACCAAAGCUGGUGAUGCUCAGUCAAGGGACACCUUGGAACGUGUUCUUGAGUGCCUUGAGAAGGAAAAAUGUGAGACAUUCCAGGAUUGCAUUACAUGGGCGCGUUUAAGGUUUGAAGAUUAUUUUGCUGAUCGGGUGAAGCAGUUGAUCUUCACUUUCCCUGAAGAUGCAUCUACUAGUACUGGUGCUCCGUUCUGGUCAGCACCAAAGCGAUUCCCUCAUCCACUUCAGUUCUCAACUGCAGAUCCAAGUCACCUCCAUUUUGUCAUGGCAGCAUCAAUAUUGCGAGCAGAGACUUUUGGGAUCUCUGUUCCUGAGUGGGUGAAACAUCCUAAGACAUUGGCUGAGGCUGUAGAGAAGGUGAUUGUGCCAGAAUUUCAGCCAAGAGAAGAUGUGAAAAUUGAGACAGAUGAAAAGGCUACCACUAUAUCUACUGUAUCUGUAGAUGAUGCAGCGGUAAUCAAUGAACUUGUCAGGAAACUAGAGCAGUGCAGGCAUAAGUUGCCACCUGAAUACAGGAUGACCCCAAUUCAGUUUGAGAAGGAUGACGAUACAAACUACCACAUGGAUCUGAUAGCCGGUCUUGCCAACAUGAGAGCAAGAAACUACAGCAUUCCUGAGGUUGACAAACUGAAAGCCAAGUUUAUUGCUGGAAGGAUCAUCCCUGCUAUAGCAACCUCCACAGCUAUGGCCACUGGUCUUGUGUGCUUAGAGCUGUAUAAGGUUCUGGAUGGUGGGCACAAGGUGGAGGACUACCGCAAUACAUUUGCCAACCUUGCACUCCCUCUAUUCUCCAUGGCUGAGCCUGUCCCACCCAAGGUUAUCAAGCAUCAGGAUAUGAGCUGGACAGUUUGGGACAGGUGGAUUCUAAAAGACAAUCCUACAUUGAGGGAACUUCUGCAAUGGCUCAAGGAUAAGGGGCUUGAUGCCUAUAGCAUUUCACAUGGUAGUUGCCUGCUCUACAACAGCAUGUUCCCUCGGCACAGAGACAGAAUGGACAGGAAGAUGGUUGAUCUGGUUAGGGAAGUGGCCAAAGCGGACUUGCCUGCAUAUCGUCGCCACUUUGAUGUUGUUGUCGCAUGUGAGGAUGAUGAAGGCAAUGAUGUUGACAUUCCCCCAGUAUCCAUUUACUUCUCUUAGGUUAUCCUGUCCAUUUCCCAGCCAGCUCGUCAUUCUUGAUUUUACGAUGAGGUUUCGGAGUCCUUUCAACGGUUAUCUGCUGCGGUUCUCGACCCUACUAGUUUUUCUUUGAUCAAGGAGGCUGACUUUGGCAUUUGCAUGGCGGAUACAACCGGGUCCUGCGAGCUGGUGAUAUCUUUCAAUAGAUUUUUGAAAGAGAAUUUAGUGUGAGACGCUAACUUGCCCCAUACGAACUUGAUGUAAUUUUCGUUGUUUGUCGCCGUGACUCCCUUCCUUGUAUGAAAACACGAUAUCCAUAAGCUUAUUGCUAUUUAGAAUAA